rnacentral:rRNA from 1 species
GAUGAACGCUGGCGGCGUGCUUAACACAUGCAAGUCGAACGGAAAGGCCAGUGCUUGCACUGGUACUCGAGUGGCGAACGGGUGAGUAACACGUGUGUAAUCUGCCCUGCACAUCGGGAUAAGCCUGCGAAACUGGGUCUAAUACCGGAUAGGACAAUGGGAUGGAUGCCGUUGUGGAAAGUAUUUUGGGUGUGGGAUGAGCUCGCGGCCUAUCAGCUUGUGGGUGGGGUAAUGGCCUACCAAGGCGUCGACGGGUAGCCGGCCUGCGAGGGUGUACGGCGAGAUUGGGACUGAGAUACGACCCAGACUCCGACGGGAGGCAGCAAUGGGGAAUAUUGCACAAUGGGCGCGCGCCGCAUGGAGCGACGCGGCGUGGGGGUUGACGGUCUUCUGGUUGUAAACUCCGUUCGCUAGGGACGAAGCGUAUUUGUGACGGUACCUGGAGAAGAAGCACCGGCUAACUACGUG